rnacentral:rRNA from 1 species
UACAGGGGGGGCAAGCGUUGUUCGGAAUUACUGGGCGUAAAGGGUUUGUAGGUGGCCACUUAAGUCAGACGUGAAAUCCCUCAGCUUAACUGGGGAACUGCGUCUGAUACUGUGUGGCUUGAGUGCAGGAGAGGAACGCGGAAUUCCAGGUGUAGCGGUGAAAUGCGUAGAUAUGCGGAGGAACACCGAUGGCGAAGGCAAUCCCCUGGGCCUGCACUGACGCUCAUGCACGAAAGCGUGGGGAGCAAACAGG